rnacentral:misc_RNA from 1 species
GAUGAAGAACGCAGCGAAAUGCGAUAAGUAAUGUGAAUUGCAGAAUUCAGUGAAUCAUCGAAUCUUUGAACGCACAUUGCGCCCCUUGGUAUUCCGGGGGGCAUGCCUGUUCGAGCGUCAUUGCUGCCCUCAAGCACGGCUUGUGUGUUGGGCCCCGUCCUCCGAUCCCGGGGGACGGGCCCGAAAGGCAGCGGCGGCACCGCGUCCGGUCCUCGAGCGUAUGGGGCUUUGUCACCCGCUCUGUAGGCCCGGCCGGCGCUUGCCGAUCAACCCAAAUUUUUAUCCAGGUUGACCUCGGAUCAGGUAGGGAUACCCGCUGAACUUAAGCAUAUCAAUAAGCGGAGGA